rnacentral:rRNA from 1 species
GACGAACGCUGGCGGCGUGCUUAACACAUGCAAGUCGAACGGAAAGGCCCUGCUUUGGUGGGGUGCUCGAGUGGCGAACGGGUGAGUAACACGUGAGUAACCUUCCCUUUACUUUGGGAUAACUUCAGGAAACUGGGGCUAAUACCGGAUAGGAGCUCCUGCUGCAUUGGGGGGGUUGGAAAGUUUCGGCCGUUGGGGAUGUACUCGCGGCUUAUCAGCUUGUUGGUGGGGUAGUGGCUUACCAAGGCUUUGACGGGUAGCCGGCCUGAGAGGGUGACCGGCCACCUUGGGACUGCGAUACGGACCAGAAUCCUACGGGAGGCAGCAGUGGAGAAUAUUGCACAAUGGGCGGAAGCCUGAUGCAGCAACGCCGCGUGCGGGAUGACGGCCUUCGGGUUGUAAACCGAUUUCGCCUGUGACGAAGCGUGAGUGACGGUAAUGGGUAAAGAAGCACCGGCUAACUACGUG